ensembl:lncRNA
AGUCCAUAAAAUAUUAUUAUUAAUUAAUAGCUUUCAUAUGGUACUUUAAUGAUACUGAAUAACAGCCUGCUGUGCUAUUUUUGGGUCACGUCCUUUGUUUACGCUAGAUCUUUUCAAUCAUGUUUUAUACCGUCGUUUAUUGACUGUUUUAGCAAGGCUAGAAAUCAUGAAUUCCAUCUUAAAAGCCGUUUAUUGAGUAGGUUAUUAAUGUUUUUGGUGGAGAAUAAGCAAAAACAUUUAUUCAAAUUGUAUUAAAUGGUAGCUGGAUUGCUGGCAUUUUUAUGAGUACCCCAUAGGACUGAUCUCAUCUGUGAUUGAAUUAAAUAGAUUUGGGUCUUAUUCGGAAACAUCGAGUCAUAUUGCUCGAGUUUUUUUCUAUGAAAAUACCCCAAUGUAUUAUUAUGCAAUAUUACUGUUUUGUGUUUAAAUACAAGAGGAAUCUAUCUUUGUUAAUUCAACAUAUUUCUCUGAGGGUGUUGGUGUGACAUGGGUGACAAAUUUUGGUAGAGUUUAUAUAAUACAGUAAUUGUUUUUGUUUUGUUUUUUUUAAUGUUCUCAAAUCAACUUUUCAAAUGGCAGUAGGAGGAAAGGUGGAUUUGGGAUGUGCAGUUAACAUAUCAUGAAUAUGAGCAUAUUAUUGCAUUAAUUAUCUAAAAUAAUGCCAAACAUGUUAUUAUUCAACUGGGAUUAUUAUUAAUGGAUUAAAAUAGCACCUUCCGGAGUACACAUUUUAGUGUUUGCUUUACACUAGCCUUUUGACUAAGUGUAGGCAUAUGCCUAUUAAUACUGUGUGUUUAUUAUUCUGAUCAAGUGUGGUUCAUAUGAGAUGAUAUGAUUAUGUAUGACCGUUAUUAAGCAUCGAGAAGAAUAUGUAUUUAUGGGUGUUUGUCUCACAACAAACGCUAACAGCCAUCCUAAGCUUGAGAUGUCAUAGUGACAUCUUGAGACAUCAUGAAAGUGAGCACAUAGAUUACAAUAUGGUUUGACAGUUAGGGUUUAUGUCUGUUAUGAAUCCACAAAUGUGUUAAAUAAUGUAGUGUAUAAAAGGUCACUUGCUGAAAUUAAUAGAGAACAAAGAACAGGUUUAUGCAUCGGAGGAUAAGACGAGGUGAGACCAGGGACAGAAAAGGUCUCAGAAAACUCUGGCUAAGGUUAAGCAGUUGUUGCAUUUUAUUUUGUUGUGUUGCAUUUCCUUUUUAAUUUUUCCCCCAUCUAUUUUUGUGCAUCAAAAAAACUGUUCCGUCAUUAAAGAAUACAUCUGACAAGCAAAACUUGGACAUGUGUU